GGUGGAGCGAUUUGUCUGGUUAAUUCCGAUAACGAACGAGACUCUGGCCUAUUAAAUAGGCGAUAUAUUUAAAAGUAUAUCGCGCUUCUUAGAGGGACAAGCGGCGUCUAGCCGCAUGAAAUAGAGCAAUAACAGGUCUGUGAUGCCCUUAGAUGUCCGGGGCUGCACGCGCGCUACACUGAAAGACUCAGAGUGCGUUUUGCCUAGUUCGGAAGAACCGGGUAACCCAAGUAAAUUCUUUCGUGCUUGGGAUAGGGAAUUGCAAUUAUUUCCCUUAAACGAGGAAUUCCCAGUAAAUGCGGGUCAUAAGCUCGCGUUGAUUACGUCCCUGCCCUUUGUAC
rnacentral:rRNA from 1 species